rnacentral:rRNA from 1 species
GCCCUAGUAACGGCGAGUGAAGCGGCAACAGCUCAAAUUUGAAAUCUGGCCCUCGGGUCCGAGUUGUAAUUUGUAGAGGAUGCUUUUGGUGCGGUGCCUUCCGAGUUCCCUGGAACGGGACGCCAUAGAGGGUGAGAGCCCCGUCUGGUUGGACACCAAGCCUCUGUAAAGCUCCUUCGACGAGUCGAGUAGUUUGGGAAUGCUGCUCUAAAUGGGAGGUAUAUGUCUUCUAAAGCUAAAUAUUGGCCAGAGACCGAUAGCGCACAAGUAGAGUGAUCGAAAGAUGAAAAGCACUUUGAAAAGAGAGUUAAAAAGCACGUGAAAUUGUUGAAAGGGAAGCGCUUAUGACCAGACUUGGGCUUGGUUGAUCAUCCGGCGUUCUCGCCGGUGCACUCUUCCGGUUCAGGCCAGCAUCAGUUUGCUUCGGGGGAUAAAGGCUUUGGGAAUGUGGCUCCUCCGGGAGUGUUAUAGCCCACUGUGUAAUACCCUGGAGCGGACUGAGGUACGCGUUCUGCAAGGAUGCUGGCGUAAUGGUCAUCAGUGACCCGUCUUGAAACACGGACCAAGGAGUCGUCUUCGUAUGCGAGUGUUCGGGUGUUAAACCCCUACGCGUAAUGAAAGUGAACGCAGGUGAGAGCUUCGGCGCAUCAUCGACCGAUCCUGAUGUUCUCGGAUGGAUUUGAGUAAGAGCAUACGGGGCCGGACCCGAAAGAAGGUGAACUAUGCCUGUGUAGGGUGAAGCCAGAGGAAACUCUGGUGGAGGCUCGCAGCGGUUCUGACGUGCAAAUCGAUCGUCAAACAUGGGCA